rnacentral:lncRNA from 1 species
AAUAAUUAAAAACUAACUAAUGAUGUUAUAAAAGAAAGUCGAGAGACCAACAAGUGGUUGGAAAAAGUAGGAGUGAACUUAUUUUCUAAGCAUUUGAACCAAGCUCAAAUUUUAGUGUUGACAUUAUUGGAAUGGCUUUAUCUGAAUAUCAUCUUCAGCCUCCACCAAUAGUUAUAAAAAAAAAAGUAAAGGACUAAAUUAUAUCAAACAAAAGUAUA